rnacentral:lncRNA from 1 species
UACAGCCGGUUUCCGAAACGUUAUUCAAAUCUUCGAUCAUCUAAUCGAGCUGUUAGAUUUGAUCAACUGUUAACCAGUGACGAGUUUCUCAAACGUCGAUCAUCUUAAAAUUAUAUGAUCGUAGAAAAUCGAUUAUCUGACAUACGAUUUGGUAUCGAUACUGUCACAAUCGGCUGUCAUCCUUCAAAAUUUCAUUUUAUAACCAAAAAAUUUCAAUCCAUAGUAAAUAACUACAUAAUUUAUAUAAUUAAAAAAUAUAUUAAAAAUGAGCAAUACAAACGGAAAUCCUCCACGCAAAAAUUAUACUGAGAGAGAGAGAGAAAUGUUUGCUGUUGGAAAUAAUUGGAAAAUACAUGCAUAUUAUAAUUGAAAACAAAUCAUGUACCAAUGCUAUGUCCAACAAACCAAAACAAUGAAACCUUGGAAAAAAUAGCGUUGAAUUUCCCAGAACUCCCAAGCAGCUGAACACUGCAUAUAUAAACUUAAAAAGGGUCACUAGCCAAAAAGUAGCAGAGGAAAAUAUUCAAAAAUAUAAUGAGCAGAAGGUUUUGGACCAGUUGAAGAGAGACCAAACUGCGGACAAAAAAGACAUACUUGCAACAGGUGGUGGCACAUUUAGGCCUCGUCUCACAGAUGUAGGGGCACAAAUGUUGAGUUUGAUUGGCAAUCAAAUCCAACCUUUACCCAACAGUUGUGACAGUGCAUCUGGUUUCUUCACAUCUGGUGAGUCCUUAUUUUAUUAAUUUAUUUAAAUAAAGGUAACUAAUUUUAAAUUUAUUUAUAUAUAUAAAGCUUGAUCAAUAUUUCCAAUAUUAUCUGAACAAUAACCUGUAUAUGGUCUUGAUCUGGACAAAACUUCUGAAUUAGAACAUUUUUUUGUUCAGCACGUUAUCCACAAAUGUAGUACAGUGACCAUUAGUUUAACUAUUUAAAACUAUUAUCUGAUAAUGCUAGGUUUACGUAUUCUAUGGAUGUAGCAAUAGAAAGAAGCCACCUUCUGUUAAAAAGGAUGAUUAGAAGAGGGAGGUAUGGUAUAGUCGGUCUAGUCGGUUUUCUAAAGAUUAACUUAAGUUUAUCCAUUGUUUCCAAAGUAUGUACAUCCGGAUGUAAGUUUUUGAGUAAAUCUAGAAUGUUUUUGGCAUCUGAAAGAUUUCCAUCUAAAUUGGAUAUUGUAUCCUACAGUUCUAAGUCAAUUUAAGAUUUUUUGAAAGGUAUUAUU